CGCAAACUCCAGGAAGAAAAGACGGGUGCAGAGUCCCAUGAUUGCGGAAACAGUACGCCGUCUUCACAACUCGGAGACAAACACUAGGCGAUACGAGCCGGCGCAAGGACUAACUUUGCCUCAUAACGAAGCCGUGACAAGCUAUUUAGUGCGGGCUUUGUCGACAAAUCCAAAUCUUCAUGAUGCUGACAAAGACAACAUUGUGUCUGCCUGCAAGACGUAUUACGAAACCUUACGCAGGAGCUACAGAUACCAGCAGCCUGAUCUUUCGUUGCAGGCGGAAGCAAUGAAGUAGCCGGCUCGUAGUCGCUCCAGAAGAAAGAGGCUGUUUGACGCGAGACGAG